CUACGGGCCGCAGCAGUCGAGAAUCUUCCGCAAUGGACGAAAGUCUGACGGAGCGACGCCGCGUGCGGGAUGAAGGCCUUCGGGUUGUAAACCGCUGUCAGUGGGGAGGAAAUGCAUCAGGGUUCUCCCUGGUGUUUGACCGAUCCGCAGAGGAAGCGCAGGCUAAGUUCGUGCCAGCAGCCGCGGUAACACGAACUGCGCGAACGUUAUUCGGAAUCACUGGGCUUAAAGAGUUCGUAGGCGGCCUUUCAAGUUGGGUGUGAAAUCCCUCGGCUCAACCGAGGAAUUGCGCCUGAUACUGUUGGGCUUGAGGGGGGUAGGGGUGAGCGGAACUGAUGGUGGAGCGGUGAAAUGCGUUGAUAUCAUCAGGAACACCGGUGGCGAAGGCGGCUCACUGGAUCUCUUCUGACGCUGAGGAACGAAAGCUAGGGGAGCGAACGGGAUUAGAUACCCUCGUAGUC
rnacentral:rRNA from 1 species